CUCAUUUUUGUUCAAGUAUCGUCGUAUUGUGCUCCUUGAAACAACCACACCUUUUUUUCAGAGCAGCAUGUAUUUCUUCUGAGGUUACCAGUGUGCUUUUCUUUGUAUCCUGAACAAUUCUUCUGGCAGUUGCGGCUGAAAUCUUUUUUGAUCUACCUGACCUUGGCUUGAUUUCAAGAGAUCCCCGAAUUUACCACUUCUUAAUAAGUGAUUGAACAGUACUGACUGGCAUUUUCAAGGCACUGGAUACCUUUUUUAUCCUUUUCCAUCCUUAUAAAGUUCCAUUACCUUGUUGCACAG